rnacentral:lncRNA from 1 species
AAAAACAAAAAGUAAAAAGCAAAAAGCAAAAAGGAAAAACAAAAGUAAAAGAAGGAAAAGAAAAAAAAAAAAGGCAACUGCCGCAUUAGCUUAAACAAUAUUAAGAAUUAUAAACUUGAAGAAUUCACAGUAUCCAUUUCCCAAUAAAUAUCUCAUUAGCUGACAAUAUAAUUUUGUCACUCUUACUCAGUAUAAAAUAGUAUUGUAUUUCAUGAACAUGGCGUAUGUUACUUAAUGAGAGGAUUUUCUCAAAAUUAAGUCUAAGAAGAAUUUUUCUUUGCAGGCUGGUAUGGACUAGAAGUCGUCAAGGAAAACAAAAAUUUCUCUUCCCUCCCUAGAGUAUAAUCAACCAUGCUUAUCU